GUGAAUCAUCGAAUCUUUGAACGCACCUUGCGCCCUUUGGUAUUCCGAAGGGCAUGCCUGUUCGAGCGUCAUUAUCACCCUUCAAGCCCUGUGCUUGGUGUUGGAUGGCCGGUCGAGCGAUCGACCCCUCCUAAAGACAAUGACGGCGGCCUGUGGUUCCCCCGGUACACUGAGCUUUUAACUGAGCACGUAUCGGACAAGGGCACCCGGGACCCGGUCCUCUCCUUUAACUAGGAAACUUCUAAGGUUGACCUCGGAUCAGGUAGGAAUACGCGCUGAACUUAAGCAUAUCAAUAAGCG
rnacentral:misc_RNA from 1 species